rnacentral:tRNA from 1 species
GGGAAAGUAGCUCAGCCUGGGAGAGCACGUGACUGAAGAUCACGGUGUCCGGGGUUCAAAUCCCCGCUUUCCCA